AUACGUAGGGGGCGAGCGUUGUCCGGAAUGACUGGGCGUAAAGGGCGUGUAGGCGGCCUGAUAAGUUUGGAGUGAAAGUCCUGUUUUCAAGAUGGGAAUUGCUUUGGAUACUGUCGGGCUUGAGUGCAGAAGAGGUAAGCGGAAUUCCCAGUGUAGCGGUGAAAUGCGUAGAGAUUGGGGGGAACACCAGUGGCGAAGGCGGCUUACUGGGCUGUAACUGACGCUGAGGCGCGAAAGCGUGGGGAGCGAACAGGAUUAGAUACCCUGGUAGUCCACGCGGUAAACGAUGAAUGCUAGGUGUUGCGGGUAUCGACCCCUGCAGUGCCGGAGUAAACACAAUAAGCAUUCCGCCUGGGGAGUACGGCCGCAAGGUUGAAACUCAAAGGAAUUGACGGGG
rnacentral:rRNA from 1 species